rnacentral:lncRNA from 11 species
GUGAUACUGGGAGGGCCCAUUAGGGCGGAGCUUUUAGGAAUAAAUACUCCAUGUGAGUUUUAGUGCAUCCCUUGACUGCUUUCAGAGGAAUGGAAAAUAUGGAAUCACCAGAUGGCCCUUCAAGCUCAGCGUGCCUUUCAGUACCGGAAGUGCCUAGAAAGAAACAAACUGCUAUGAAAAGAAGAGCUGAAAGCGGCUAUAGGUAUUGGGCCUAUCCAAACAUGUCAGGAACAACAGGACUUUCCCUACCUGUGACACCAAUGAAUAGUCCUAAAAAGCCGCGAGAAUCCUCGAAUGCUAAACCUCCGACAAGGCUUAACUUAUUACCAGGUCUUUAUGCUGUGAAAAAUAAAUUCACAGAGGUUAAGCCUGAUUUAAAUGAUCAGGGCACAGACAGGAUCGAUUUGAAAAAGCUUUUCCCUGAAAUGCCGAGAAUGUAUCAUGCUGAUGCUACUGCUGUUCUUGAAGAGGCGGAUGAAGAGAUGCUUUGUAAAACAGACUAUAAGGAUAUUGAGAGAACGGGAGAAGAACCAACCUCAGGCAGAUGCGUCCAUCGGUCACUCCUAGAGGAGCUGUUGAAGGAUGGAGCGGCGGAAAAGGAAGUCAUGGCUGUUGAUGAAAACACAACUGAUGGUUUCGAGAAUAUUACGGGCUGUAUCCAGUUUUCUGGUGAUGUGGAGGAUCUUCAGAUUGGCGACUCUCAGACCAUGGAGCUUUUCAGCAUGCCGCAUGUUUAAAGCCUGUUCUGCAGAGCAGAGCUGCUAUGUGUGUCUCACAAUAAAAUUGGUUUGUUUUGUACCCCUGUGUUCAUACUUGCAUUCGGUGACAUAAUGUCAGAGUCCGAUGAAAU